rnacentral:rRNA from 1 species
UACAGAGGAGCCAAGCGUUGUCCGGAUUGACUGGGCGUAAAGCGCACGCAGGCGGUUGCGCGGGGGGGGGGUGAAAUCUGGCCGCUUAACGGCCAGGCGCCAUCCCAUACGGCGCGACUGGAGUGAUGCAGAGGUCGAUGGAAUUGCCGGUGUAGUGGUGAAAUGCGUAGAGAUCGGGAGGAACAUCAGUGGCGAAGGCGGCCAUCUGGGACAACACUGACGCUGAAGCACGAAAGCGUGGGGAGCAAACAGG